AAUCCCUAACGCGUGCCGGCGGCGACGUUUGUUUAUAUUUUUAAAAACUAUAACAACCCUCUUGGGCAUUAUUCUCCUCGCCUCCAGUUGAUCUCCCGCUACUUAAAAAAUAAAACCCACUUUACAGGCACACUUCCCAAGUAAUAAAACACAAGAGAUUGAAGGACUUGGCCUCGGAGCUGCCAACUCGUUUAACUAAACUGACAUUUCGGAGUAGUGACACCUGUUGAUCCUGGUGCUUUUUCGGACCAACAAAACUUAAGAUUAAUCAUUAAUUUUUCAGGCUGGGGGAGCCACAUUCGUGUUGGCCACUUCGUACCGCUGGCGCUGCUUGUGCCUCCGGCUCUGGGUGCGCACCACCAGAUAAAUGCCCAGGACGACGACGAGGGCCAGCAGCAGGGAGGUGACCACAAACCAGCCGUAGUAACCAUCGGAAUCCUCCUCGUCCCGGGCGUUCUCCCACUCGGUGAAGUUGCCCGAUGCAUCCUCCCUCAGCUGGCCGGCCUUCUGCUCCCGGAAGAGCGAGGCCUUGGCCAGGUUACUCGAUUCUGGGGCCAUGAAGACCGGCUCCGUGUUGUCGAUCCGGACGAAUGUGAGCCGUGCUCCCAGCAGAGCCUGCUUGUAGCGCCUCAGUCCAUGGCCAUAGUACUCGUAUAUAUCGGCGCCAAACUCCCUGUGCUGGUCCACCCACUGGCCAAUCACCUGCACCCGCACCUCGCUCCGGGGAUCCAUGCUGCGCCCGAAGUAGGCCUUCUCCGCCACAUCCAGGCCGCCCACCCCGUCCGCAUCCAGCUCCAGGACGGAGGAGCGGUGCUCGAAGAGCAGUGGCAGCCUGGCCAGGCUCUUGUCCUGGUACACGCUGCUCGUGUUCACCAGUACCUUCUCCACAAAGCUGUAGUUCAGGCUGCCGUAGAUGGGCUUCCUCUCCCCACUGGGAUUCCGCAGCAAACUGUCGCCCAGGUGCAUCUUGUAGCUGUUGGUCACAUUGCGCCAGGGCAGGCUAUCUGCGGGUAAAUCCCCUGAAGAAACUCACGAAGUUAUCGCCGAAGAUCAUGACCACGCAGGUGAAGAGAUUGUCGGACACCGCAUUGACCAGGUCCGUGUGCCGGAAGUGGCAGAGCUCGGUCUUCUCGCGCUCCACGUUGGUGGCCUUGGCUAUGUAGGUCAGCCGCUCCUUGGGAUUCAGCUCGGCAGCGUAGUUCUUGAGCACCGUGUGGUAGGGCACCCAGGCCAGGAGCGAAUCCGCUCCAUCGGCACACACCUCCGCCUGGACACCGCGUCCACUCAGCUCGCCGUUGUGCAGCCGCAGGAAGUGGUGGUUGUCCCGCUUGACCGUCGUGGAGCCGUGAUCCGCGCACAGGGUGUCCACGAGGCUCGCCUGUGAGUUAGUCAGAUAAAAGUUUAGACGGGAAGCAAGCACCUCGAUCGUCGGCUUAUCUCAGCUCCGCCGGCAUUAUCUUCCCCAGCUGCGAUGGACACUUUGUCUCUUUAUCGUCAAGCUAAUUCAAUUUGGAAUAUCAGCCACUCGAAGGUGGCACACGAAUAAUUUAUGACUGGCAUUGGGUUCGUCACUUAAGGAUGUCGAUGAGACAAACUCGUUUGGCCGAAACUGAAUUCAAAGCCAUUUAAGGCUGCGAAUUUUCAUCUGACUGAGGUCACUCAAUUCAGAUAUGGAUAAAUGGUCAACGUGGUGGCCUUUAUGUGGCACUGCAGGUCCUUCUCGCUGGGCACGACUAUAUGCCGGUCGAUCUCCGAGAGGAGCAGCGGCUCCGUCUGGAUGCAGAAGUGGGGGUGCUCCUCAAAGGCAGAAGCACCCAGCGCCACCAACAAACUCAGCCAUCCGACGAUAAGUAAUUCACACAUUUCCGUAGUUGCAGUGGUCGCAGUUCUUGGAUUCUAUUGCGCCGGAGCCGUCGAUGAGCACAGUCGCACUGCGAGCACCCGAAUAUCACCAUAUUUAUCUGCUUAUGAAGGAUUCGGCCGAGAUUUGCUGCGAUUUUCGGUGAGAGCCGAUCCGAGAUCCGAGUUAACGUCACCGCGCGGCCAGUUGGUGGGUAAAAACUGCGGAAUGG